rnacentral:tRNA from 1 species
AGGUAAGGUUCAGUGGUCUGAAAUUGAAUUUGCAAAAUUUGAUAAAUGAGUUCGACUCUCAUCCUUAUCUU